CCUCACAAGUGUGAGUCAAAUAACUUGUAUUCUGAAACUUUGGCCUCUUCUAUUUCUUUCUUUAUAUAUGUAAUGAGAAUCUCUAACUCCAACUUCCUGAUUUCUCUGAUGAUUUGAAUGCUGCAGUCAGCCAGGGUAUGCGGGAUAUAAGCAAUCACUGCUGCAGGAAAGAUGCUGACUUGCGGUUCAUGGCCUGGCUCUGCUAGGCAGAGAGUAGUGACCCAGGUCACCCCUGUGACACCAUGGAGACCAUGUCAGAAACAGAAAUGUGCCAUUACGGGGCAACUAAAGAAGUCUGUCAUCUCUCAGGCCGUGUUUGUUGGCACUGGUCCCAAGCACCUGGUUAAUUGCUGUUUCCCUUCCCAGAGGAAAGAGCAGAGCUCCCACAGAGGCAGGAACCUGGCAAAGGGCACAGAAAGAUGGGCCAGGCCUGUGAACAGCAGUCCCAGCCAAAGGCCUUCUCCAGGAGUAGACCUGCCUAACUCCUGCAGAGUGUUCCUCGAGCUGAUGACAAUGCACAUUACAUUCACUCUAAGUGCAAAAUUCUCUCUUCCCAUGAGUGACAAAAAAAGAUAAAUAAAUUCAAAAUUCUCAGAUUGCAGCUCCAAGUCCUGCCAGCAACAAUUAGUUGUAGAGAAGAAAAUGGUGUUUCCCCUUCUCCAGCUUUACCUUCUCACCCUUUUCUUCCUCUCUCAUUCUUUGUCAUCUAUUAUUUUCCAAAAUAAAAAUAGCUAUUUAUAUCCUUUCCAAGCAAGAAAUAGGGAUCUCUAUCACCAUUUGAAUGAAUGUUCAUUAUCCUGUUGUGGGGAUGCAGUAUGAU
rnacentral:lncRNA from 1 species